GGAGGGGUGUUAGAGUGGUCGAAUAAACCGGUCUUGAAAACCGGCGUGGUGCAAGCCACCGUGGGUUCGAAUCCCACCCCCUCCGCCA
rnacentral:tRNA from 1 species